GAAAUGCGAUAACUAAUGUGAAUUGCAGAAUUCCGUGAAUCAUCGAGUCUUUGAACGCACAUUGCGCCCCCUGGCAUUCCGGGGGGCAUGCCUGUCCGAGCGUCAUUACAGCCCUCAAGCCCGGCUUGUGUGAUGGGCCGCCGUCUCGGGGGAUUGGGGUCAGACCCGGCCCCGACCCGAGACGCGCCCGAAACGUAGCGGGGGACGUCGCGAUACCUGAGCCUCAGCGAAUGGGAACGUACCUACCAGAGCUGCACGGCCCGGCCGACGCCCGCCUAAAUCGAUCCUCUAGUGGAUCAUCCUCUCUCCGGUUGACCUCGGAUCAGGUAGGGAUACCCGCUGAACUUAA
rnacentral:misc_RNA from 1 species